GAUGAACGCUGGCUACAGGCUUAACACAUGCAAGUCGAGGGGAAACGACGGGGAAGCUUGCUUCCCCGGGCGUCGACCGGCGCACGGGUGAGUAACGCGUAUCCAACCUGCCUCUGACUGAGGGAUUACCCGUCGAAAGUCGGCCUAAUACCUCAUGGCAUCGUCUGCGGGCAUCCAACGACGAUUAAAGAUUUCAUCGGUCAGAGAUGGGGAUGCGUCUGAUUAGCUUGUUGGCGGGGUAACGGCCCACCAAGGCGACGAUCAGUAGGGGUUCUGAGAGGAAGGUCCCCCACAUUGGAACUGAGACACGGUCCAAACUCCUACGGGAGGCAGCAGUGAGGAAUAUUGGUCAAUGGGCGAGAGCCUGAACCAGCCAAGUAGCGUGCAGGAUGACGGCCCUAUGGGUUGUAAACUGCUUUUAUGCGGGGAUAAAGUGAGGGACGUGUCCUUCAUUGCAGGUACCGCAUGAAUAAGGACCGGCUAAUUCCGUG
rnacentral:rRNA from 1 species